rnacentral:rRNA from 1 species
UGCGGAGGAUGCGAGCGUUAUCCGGAUUUAUUGGGUUUAAAGGGUGCGUAGGCGGAUCGUUAAGUCAGUGGUCAAAUUGAGGGGCUCAACCCCUUCCCGCCAUUGAAACUGGCGAUCUUGAGUGGAAGAGAAGUAUGCGGAAUGCGUGGUGUAGCGGUGAAAUGCAUAGAUAUCACGCAGAACCCCGAUUGCGAAGGCAGCAUGCCGGCUUCCGACUGACGCUGAAGCACGAAAGCGUGGGGAUCGAACAGG